GGCCUACGGGGCGCAGCAGUCGGGAAUAUUGCGCAAUGGAGGAAACUCUGACGCAGUGACGCCGCGUAUAGGAAGAAGGUUUUCGGAUUGUAAACUAUUGUCGUUAGGGAAGAUACAAGACAGUACCUAAGGAGGAAGCCCCGGCUAACUACGUGCCAGCAGCCGCGGUAAUACGUAGGGGGCUAGCGUUAUCCGGAAUUACUGGGCGUAAAGGGUGCGUAGGUGGUUUCUUAAGUCAGAGGUGAAAGGCUACGGCUCAACCGUAGUAAGCCUUUGAAACUGGGGAACUUGAGUGCAGGAGAGGG
rnacentral:rRNA from 1 species